rnacentral:rRNA from 1 species
UACGUAGGGGGCAAGCGUUGUCCGGAAUCAUUGGGCGUAAAGCGCGUGUAGGCGGCUCGGUAAGUCCGCUCUGAAAGCCCGGGGCUCAACCCCGGGAGGCGGGUGGAUACUGCUGAGCUCGAGUCCGGAAGAGGAGUGUGGAAUUCCUGGUGUAGCGGUGAAAUGCGUAGAGAUCCGGAGGAACACCAGUGGCGAAGGCGACACGCUGGGUCGCACCUGACGCUAAAACGCGACAGCAUGGGGAGCAAACGGG